rnacentral:rRNA from 1 species
GCUUACGGCCAUACCACCCUGAGCACGCCCGAUCUCGUCUGAUCUCGGAAGCUAAGCAUGGUCAGGCCUGAUUAGUACUUGGAUGGGAGACCGCCUGGGAAUACCAGGUGCUGUAAGCU